rnacentral:tRNA from 1 species
GGAGAGGUGCCGGAGUGGUCGAACGGGGCGGUCUCGAAAACCGUUGAACCCUUGCGGGUUCCGUGGGUUCGAAUCCCACCCUCUCCGCCA